rnacentral:rRNA from 1 species
GAUGAACGCUGGCGGCGUGCUUAACACAUGCAAGUCGAACGAGGCACUUUAUUUGAUUUCCUUCGGGACUGAUUAUUUUGUGACUGAGUGGCGGACGGGUGAGUAACGCGUGGGUAACCUGCCUUGUACAGGGGGAUAACAGUUGGAAACGGCUGCUAAUACCGCAUAAGCGCACGGCAUCGCAUGAUGCAGUGUGAAAAACUCCGGUGGUAUAAGAUGGACCCGCGUUGGAUUAGCUAGUUGGUGAGGUAACGGCCCACCAAGGCGACGAUCCAUAGCCGACCUGAGAGGGUGACCGGCCACAUUGGGACUGAGACACGGCCCAAACUCCUACGGGAGGCAGCAGUGGGGAAUAUUGCACAAUGGGCGAAAGCCUGAUGCAGCGACGCCGCGUGAGCGAAGAAGUAUUUCGGUAUGUAAAGCUCUAUCAGCAGGGAAGAUAAUGACGGUACCUGACGAAGAAGCACCGGCUAAAUACGUG